rnacentral:lncRNA from 1 species
GGGUAAUGAGAUUUGGUGAUGGGUUGAAUUGUCCACAUUGAUUAAUUCUAAUGAUGAAAAAGGGGUAAUAAAAGGCAAUGUGAUUAACUGACUUGAUUUAUUAUGUGUAAUGUGUUCUUUAUUGAACCCGUAUACUUGUGAUAGCUGAGGUGAUUACAUAUCAUAUUGAUAUUUGAUUGAGAGGCAUAUCCCUUUUAUUGAUAUCAUAUCGUGCACAUGCAUUGACAUGCGAUUGACUGUGAGUAAAGGUCUAACACGUGGAGAUCGUCCGUGUUGAGAUCAAGUAUGAUUAUAAUUUGGGCACGUGGAGAUCGUCCCUGCGAGUGAUUAAUUUGAUUAUAAGUUGGGCACGUGGAGA